AACUGAAACAUCUAAGUACCCCGAGGAGAAGAAAUCAACCGAGAUUCCGGUAGUAGCGGCGAGCGAACCUGGAUUAGCCCUUAAGCACUCGGUGAAGUAGGUGAACAAGCUGGAAAGCUUGGCGAUACAGGGUGAUAGCCCCGUAACCGACGCUUCAUCGAGCGUGAAAUCGAGUAGGGCGGGACACGUGAUAUCCUGUCUGAAUAUGGGGGGACCAUCCUCCAAGGCUAAAUACUCCUGACUGACCGAUAGUGAACCAGUACCGUGAGGGAAAGGCGAAAAGAACCCCUGUGAGGGGAGUGAAAUAGAACCUGAAACCGUGUACGUACAAGCAGUAGGAGCACCUUCGUGGUGUGACUGCGUACCUUUUGUAUAAUGGGUCAGCGACUUAUAUUCAGUGGCAAGGUUAACCGUAUAGGGGAGCCGUAGCGAAAGCGAGUCUUAACUGGGCGCUCAGUCUCUGGAUAUAGACCCGAAACCGGGUGAUCUAGCCAUGGGCAGGUUGAAGGUUGAGUAACAUCAACUGGAGGACCGAACCGACUAAUGUUGAAAAAUUAGCGGAUGACUUGUGGCUAGGGGUGAAAGGCCAAUCAAACUCGGAGAUAGCUGGUUCUCCCCGAAAGCUAUUUAGGUAGCGCCUCGGACGAAUACUACUGGGGGUAGAGCACUGUUAAGGCUAGGGGGUCAUCCCGACUUACCAACCCUUUGCAAACUCCGAAUACCAGUAAGUACUAUCCGGGAGACACACGGCGGGUGCUAACGUCCGUCGUGGAGAGGGAAACAACCCAGACCGCCAGCUAAGGUCCCAAAGUAUUGCUAAGUGGGAAACGAUGUGGGAAGGCUCAGACAGCUAGGAUGUUGGCUUAGAAGCAGCCAUCAUUUAAAGAAAGCGUAAUAGCUCACUAGUCGAGUCGGCCUGCGCGGAAGAUGUAACGGGGCUAAGCAAUACACCGAAGCUGCGGCAAUGUCUUUUAGACAUUGGGUAGGGGAGCGUUCUGUAAGCCGUUGAAGGUGAAUCGUAAGGUUUGCUGGAGGUAUCAGAAGUGCGAAUGCUGACAUGAGUAACGACAAAGGGGGUGAAAAACCUCCUCGCCGGAAGACCAAGGGUUCCUGUCCAACGUUAAUCGGGGCAGGGUGAGUCGACCCCUAAGGUGAGGCCGAAAGGCGUAAUCGAUGGGAAACGGGUUAAUAUUCCCGUACUUCUGACUAUUGCGAUGGGGGGACGGAGAAGGCUAGGUGGGCCAGGCGACGGUUGUCCUGGUUCAAGUGCGUAGGCUUGAGAGUUAGGUAAAUCCGGCUCUCUUUAAGGCUGAGACACGACGUCGAGCUACUACGGUAGUGAAGUCAUUGAUGCCAUGCUUCCAGGAAAAGCCUCUAAGCUUCAGAUAGUCAGGAAUCGUACCCCAAACCGACACAGGUGGUCGGGUAGAGAAUACCAAGGCGCUUGAGAGAACUCGGGUGAAGGAACUAGGCAAAAUGGUACCGUAACUUCGGGAGAAGGUACGCUCUUGAUGGUGAAGUCCCUCGCGGAUGGAGCUGACGAGAGUCGCAGAUACCAGGUGGCUGCAACUGUUUAUUAAAAACACAGCACUGUGCAAAAUCGCAAGAUGACGUAUACGGUGUGACGCCUGCCCGGUGCCGGAAGGUUAAUUGAUGGGGUUAGCGCAAGCGAAGCUCUUGAUCGAAGCCCCGGUAAACGGCGGCCGUAACUAUAACGGUCCUAAGGUAGCGAAAUUCCUUGUCGGGUAAGUUCCGACCUGCACGAAUGGCGUAAUGAUGGCCACGCUGUCUCCACCCGAGACUCAGUGAAAUUGAAAUCGCUGUGAAGAUGCAGUGUACCCGCGGCUAGACGGAAAGACCCCGUGAACCUUUACUACAGCUUGGCACUGAACAUUGAACCUACAUGUGUAGGAUAGGUGGGAGGCUAUGAAGACGUGACGCCAGUUGCGUUGGAGCCGUCCUUGAAAUACCACCCUUGUAUGUUUGAUGUUCUAACUUAGACCCAUUAUCUGGGUUGAGGACAGUGCCUGGUGGGUAGUUUGACUGGGGCGGUCUCCUCCCAAAGAGUAACGGAGGAGCACGAAGGUGGGCUAAUCACGGUUGGACAUCGUGAGGUUAGUGCAAUGGCAUAAGCCCGCUUAACUGCGAGAAUGACGGUUCGAGCAGGUGCGAAAGCAGGUCAUAGUGAUCCGGUGGUUCUGUAUGGAAGGGCCAUCGCUCAACGGAUAAAAGGUACUCCGGGGAUAACAGGCUGAUACCGCCCAAGAGUUCAUAUCGACGGCGGUGUUUGGCACCUCGAUGUCGGCUCAUCACAUCCUGGGGCUGAAGUCGGUCCCAAGGGUAUGGCUGUUCGCCAUUUAAAGUGGUACGCGAGCUGGGUUUAGAACGUCGUGAGACAGUUCGGUCCCUAUCUGCCGUGGGCGUUGGAAGAUUGAAGGGGGCUGCUCCUAGUACGAGAGGACCGGAGUGGACGAACCUCUGGUGUUCGGGUUGUGUCGCCAGACGCAUUGCCCGGUAGCUAAGUUCGGAAUUGAUAAGCGCUGAAAGCAUCUAAGCGCGAAGCGAGCCCUGAGAUGAGUCUUCCCUGAUACUUUAAGUAUCCUAAAGGGUUGUUCGAGACUAGAACGUUGAUAGGCAGGGUGUGUAAGCGUUGUGAGGCGUUGAGCUAACCUGUACUAAUUGCCCGUGAGGCUUAACCAU
rnacentral:rRNA from 1 species